AAACUUCAGCUAAUACCGUAUGUCGCCCGUUCGGGGAAAUAUUUAUCGCCAUUGGAGCGGCCCGCGUUGGAUUAGGUAGUUGGUGAGGUAAAGGCUCACCAAGCCUACGAUCCAUAGCUGGUCUGAGAGGAUGACCAGCCACACUGGGACUGAGACACGGCCCAGACUCCUACGGGAGGCAGCAGUAGGGAAUCUUGCGCAAUGGGCGAAAGCCUGACGCAGCCAUGCCGCGUGAAUGAUGAAGGUCUUAGGAUUGUAAAAUUCUCUCACCGGGGACGAUAAUGACGGUACCCGGAGAAGAAGCCCCGGCUAACUUCGUG
rnacentral:rRNA from 1 species